UCCCAUUGUCUUGUAUCCUGCCUACGUUCCAACCAGUAGUAAGCAGCUAACCUUCCUGCCCGCGCUGUACUGUAGUAAGCAACUAAUCACUCGUGCAAGAGAGUCCCCGGGAGAUAGAGUUGGUUCUGAAAGAACGUAGUAAGUGUUUACUCUCUCUGAUGUAGCGAAGAUAGUUAGCACUACCUUAUGAAGCUUACCAAAGAGCUAACCUUUAAGAGCAACUUAGUACUUUCAUCAGCAAAAGGAACUAGUUUGGCGAGCAAGGCGAUGAAGUCAAGGUGUCAGACGGAUAGACAGCUUACUUAACCUUGAUUAGUCG
rnacentral:misc_RNA from 1 species